rnacentral:rRNA from 1 species
GAUGAACGCUGGCGGCGUGCCUAAUACAUGCAAGUCGAGCGAACAGACGAGGAGCUUGCUCCUCUGACGUUAGCGGCGGACGGGUGAGUAACACGUGGAUAACCUACCUAUAAGACUGGGAUAACUUCGGGAAACCGGAGCUAAUACCGGAUAAUAUAUUGAACCGCAUGGUUCAAUAGUGAAAGACGGUUUUGCUGUCACUUAUAGAUGGAUCCGCGCCGCAUUAGCUAGUUGGUAAGGUAACGGCUUACUAAGGCAACGAUGCGUAGCCGACCUGAGAGGGUGAUCGGCCACACUGGAACUGAGACACGGUCCAGACUCCUACGGGAGGCAGCAGUAGGGAAUCUUCCGCAAUGGGCGAAAGCCUGACGGAGCAACGCCGCGUGAGUGAUGAAGGUCUUCGGAUCGUAAAACUCUGUUAUUAGGGAAGAACAAAUGUGUAAGUAACUAUGCACGCCUUGACGGUACCUAAUCAGAAAGCCACGGCUAACUACGUG